AAGACCGUACCCCAAACCGACACAGGUGGUCAGGUAGAGAAUACCAAGGCGCUUGAGAGAACUAUGCUGAAGGAACUCGGCAAAUUACUCCCGUAAGUUCGCGAGAAGGGAGCCUCUGCAUUGGGCAACCAGUGUGGAGGGGCACAGACCAGGGGGUGGCGACUGUUUACUAAAAACACAGGGCUCUGCGAAGUCGCAAGACGACGUAUAGGGACUGACGCCUGCCCGGUGCUGGAAGGUUAAGAGGAGAUGUCAUUCCUUCGGGGAGAAGCAUUGAAUUGAAGCCCCAGUAAACGGCGGCCG
rnacentral:rRNA from 11 species